UAUAAAUAAGAUAUACACGUACAUCAACAAGUGUUGAUGAUGAAGAUGAGUUUCGUUAGUCGUGAAGCUUUAAAUGUUUAGUGGUUGUGUUUUGAACUCGCAGAAGCACAGUGAGUUGAAGUACCACAUCCUUGGAAGAUAAAACGAAACAGGCGGUUAUAUGACAACUGUUGGCUGAGUAUUAUCGUAAUAAUCCAAAGAGGAAAUUACCCACAGAUAAUAAUGGUUUUCACAGUUGCGUGUUGUUUUUGGCGAGCAUUGUUCAAGAGUUGCAAAUCUAGCUAGCGCUGCAAUGAAAUUAGUCUCGUGACAGUCUGAAAGAAAUCGAAUAUUAAUGUACUUUUACACGGUGUAAUAAUAAUUAAAAGAGUAAAUAGAUAAACGGCUCUUUUUACUGUUUAAUAAUCGAUUUAUUCGUGGAACUACCGAUCUCUCAACCAAUAUAUUCACGGAAUGACUUCAUCGUGUAAUUAAAUCAACCUCGACCGUGUGUAUUCUGGAGAUUGAAGUUCCCGGAUUAGGACAGACUUUUAAUGCUUACAGAAAACAUUGGGCAUUGAAAACCAGUCAGACGGGUCACCGCUGUGAUAUAUCGUCAACCCGUCCACACCCGAGCUCCGAUCGACCACCCGUGAAUUUAUUUAUAGUGGAAAGAGAAAGUGUGUGUAUAGUAUAUAAUGUAAUAACGGAAUACGAAAAUUAAUAAAAAAGACUAGAGGAUAUGGCAUUAAAUGGCGGACAAGUCUGAUAGGCGCAGUUCUUGAGAUUACGACAAUGACGUGACAUUAUUCCUAUCAGAAGCCGUGUCUGUCCCUAGUGUACACAUUGAUGGAAACCAUCAUCCACUUCACCAUGUUUCUUCAGUUAUCCGUCAUUUUUAGCGUGGUGCUGUUGUCAACGAAACGGGUGGAAGCGGAAGUCGUGACGCCAAUGUACAGUGCUGGUGGCGACCCCGAGGUGGUAGGCUUAAUGGACAUUCACAGAUUCACAGAAAACGAAAUGUGCAUGGAUUUCUCGCCAAGAACAGCAGAAAUGACCUUUUGCUCUGGAAUGGUUCCACCAGGAUAUGGUCAAAAAAGGGAUAAGUCCUAUUCCAGGGUUGGUGAUUUACGAUACCUGUGGUGACGUCAGAAGAACGCUGGUUAUCCUGGGGUCUCUACUGAGCUCACAAAGUACAAACAUAUCGAGUGUGAUAUCGUACGGACAGCCUGCCUUGCAAUCACGUAUCUCUCAGUUCCUGCAGCCUUUUGGGAUCCUUCACAUCAACAUCAACCAAACAGCUUACGUUUCUACCCAAGGGGACCGAUCAAUAGAUAUAAGCACUGUGUCUCCUUGGAGAGUUCGGGAUAUUCUGACAAUUGUGAUGGAGUUGAAAUGGAACAACUUCGCUCUGAUUUCCUCUCAGCAUCCGUCAGCCAUAGCAUCACGUGAUCUAUUUCUUAAGAUGGCUGCUCCCUAUUCUCUUUGCAUAUCAUCUGUUUUCAUCCAUGACAAGGACAAAGAAUAUGAUGAUUUACCAAGUCACGUGAUAUUGUUUGUGUCAGCAGACGACAGAUAUGACGAAAUAAUUUCCUCUACAUCUUUUGCAAACAGUUUUGUUUUAUUAACGUCAGAUCAUUGGGAAGACCUGACUUCAAAUUUCACGGACAAAUUCCUAUACCUGGAACACCUGAAUACAUCAACAAAUCUAGGUUAAGUUCGUGAAAGAUAAAAUUGAGGAUUUGUCAGACAACUCUACAUUCAUUGAAUCCUACAGAAAUAAGUUUAACUGUAUUCAAGAUGCAAGUGGUGGGACUUGCAAUGGACAAGCAACAGGCAACUUUUCUUCCAUCCCGAUUUAUGGGGAGGGACAUUGAAGCAAGCAAUAUCUGCUCUGACGAAUGCGCAAAAUCUUUUGAAACUCUUUGAUUCGAACAACUGCUCGAGUUUAGAUUUGUUUCAUUGUUUAGGGAGAAACACAUUUCGAGCGGUUCACGAUGGCUUUUCCGAGGAUAUAACCCCUUUCACUGGGAUGUACCAACUGAUGAAAGAUGUUGGUGGAGAAAUGACGUCGUACAUUAACCGUGGAUAUAUUACUGUUGCAGAGGUUUAUGGAAAUGAAAUAAGUAUUAGAAAUACUCUUACAUGGAGUCGAGUGAAGAGCCUUCCCCAUGACGCCUGUCCGAAGAACCAAUUGUGGCAACUGUACAACACCUUCCCCACCUCUAACAAAUCCUGAAACCCGUCUGGUGGAGGGAGAUAUGAUAGUAAGACUUCAGCUCCCACUUACCCAGAAGUCUUUACUAGGAAAAUCUUGUGACGAUUGGAAAACUGAAGGAGUAAUUUUGGCAGAAGUUUUCAAGCAUGAAGUUUCAAAGUUUGCAGGACAGUUUCCAAACAUGUUAAAGCAUAUCAGGCUGGGUGGUGUUGCUAUUGACUCCUGUCAAGGAGACCCAACGAAAAAUGAAAAUAUUACAGCAGAUAUUGAACUCAUAGAUGAUGAUGAACUUUUAACUCCUAAACCAUUUUCUUCGGGACAGCGGUUCACUGUGUCUUCUUUAGGGCUAUCGUUUGGUGACCCGGAUAGUUCCCAGUUCGUUCAUGCAGCUGUUGAAUUACUUAAGUCAUUGAAAUGGACAUACGUUCACGUUGUGUUUUCACCUGGAGAGACUCUGAUUACAGACUUUGAAACGUACCUCAAAAAGACUGGGCACGAUAUAUGUGUCCCAAAUAAAAUAGCUGUUGAAAACAAUGCAACAGAUAUAGCAAUAAAACUACAAAAGAGUUUAACGAAAUCAAGCGGGGGUGCUUUCUUGUUGCUAACUAAUGCCAAAGACACUUUGUUUUUAAAGACCUUAUUCUCCACUAUUAACAAUGCUUUCAGUGGAGUCAACCUGAUCACUUUUCCAUGGAAUCGUAAUAUCAUUACACAUCCGGGCACCAUCUUCAUUUCAAGUUCAACCUCUUCCGUGGAUGAUGUGGUAUCUAUAGUGCAAAAUCUGAAACCAGAUUCAAACUAUACAGACAUUAUCUUGAAAUCAUUUCAUGAACACCGAUACAAGUGCAGCAUAAUUUAUGCACCAAGAAAUGAUUUAUCCAGACAUUUGUUCAUCCUACCCUACGUUAGCAAAUGAUACAUUGCCAAAAUCAUUGAUAUCUGUCUUGCGAAAAGCUGUGGAAGUUGUGACGUCUCUUCUGGAUAGGUACUAUAGAGCAAGUUGUCCCAGUCAGACGGGGAAAGUGUAACAACAUGACAAAUCGCGUGGACCUCUCCAAGUUUCUGACAGCGACUGGGGAUGAUUCGAAUUCUUACAGGGAGCUGAUGACAAAGAAAGAUGUGUACAUUUAUCAAGGAAACUCUAUUUCUGGAACAGCGGUGAAGGUUGGGUCUAUAAGCGAGGAUGGAGUAGUGUCAGUCAGUGCUAAUGACGUCAUUACUUACAACCCAGGAUUUCGUGACAUAUACUGCCGUCCAUCAAUGCCACGAUUGGUGCCCAGAAUGUCAUGGAUGUUCGUCACCAAGCGUCGCGACAAUUGAGAACCUGUAUCAGUCGGGUGACAUAGUCAUUGCUGGUUUGUUUCCAGUUCAUAAAAGCCAGUCGUCCUUUUGCGACGCUCUGAAUACAGAUAUGCGAGCUGAUAUAAUGGUUGAUGCUUUCUUGUUCGCGCUUGCGUCAGCAAAAGAGAGAUAUCCGUAUAUUCUGCCUGGAGUUAACUUAGGCAGCCUCGUUCUAGAUACGUGUUCAGAUGGCAACAUGGCGGCUCAAACCUUAAUGAACUUUGAAACGUGCCAAGCAAGCUACAAGGACAGAGACGUGGUUGCCGGGCCUCAGUUGGUGACUAUGUAUAUGAGCACUGAUUCUAUGGGCAUCUCGAAUCAAAUUCAAGACACUCUACAAAAAUAUAACAAAUCGUCUUUCGCCAUUAACCAUGAAGCCUCGUCUGUAAAUAAUGAUAUAACAUCUAGAUUUUACUCCACUUACUCAAAAGCUGGAAUACGAACCAUUUUCGAAAUUCUCAAUAAAACGCAAUGGUCCUACAUUAAUAUUGCACGAUCUAACAGUUCUGUGUUCGAUUAUGUGGUGGACGAAUUUCUUUGGCAAAGUAGAAAUUACAACAUUUGUGUUCACGGGGUUUCUUCCAUCGCACAGUACAAGGUUGAGAGGUUGCCGACCUUAUCAAUGACUGUGAUAUUCGCAAAUAUAAAAGAAAUCGAGAUCUUCUUCAAAUCCCUCAUUGCAUCUCCCACAGAUCACUCUUUUAUCAUAGGCGAAAUUGAACCGUCAUGGACUGAUGUUUCAGACAUUGUCAUUCCAAAUAAUGUUCGUAUUCUCGCAAUAGAGCGUACCGGAAAAAUCAACUCCGAUUUGGUGAAAGCAUUUUCCGAGGGUCCAUCUACAAUCUUCAGUCGAAAUCCCUGGAAAACUGAGUUCGAAAAAGCUCUAUCUAGUUGCAUAUCUCCAUCUUGUUCAUCAGGCGUCGAUCUUCAGCUGGCUUCUAACAUUGUAUUUGGUGUUGAUGUUAUGCUCCAUGCCUUCCACAACCGAUUUGAGAAAAGUUGUUCAAACUAUUACGGAGUAUGUCAACAACUUGCGAAUGAAAAAGUACAACUUCAGAAGGAACAUUUCAACGAUAUAUCAUUUACGUAUCUGAAUAACAUCCACAUCAAUUUCCCACCGCGUGAUGUGGAAUCUUGGGCGUUUGUGGUGAAGAACUUCAAUGGGGGAACGUUAGUAGAUAUGGGUAAUUAUACUGACGGAAUCCUACACUUCGAUCCUUACAAAAUAUACGAUACAAAUGGCCGAAAAUUCCAUGUGCAGGAGUCUCGUUGUUAUAGCAACUGUCGCUGUUUCGGAUUAGAGGAUGAGAACAACAGCACGGUUGAGAGUACGGAAGAUCCAUUUGCAAACAUGGAGUUGAAAUUCUUCAAAUCAUCAUCGAUGCUAAACAAAGACUUGUGGACGAUCAUUGUGCUCAUCAUCAGUAUUGGGGGAGCAUUUGUCGCAUUUUGUUUUGUGAUUUUCGUUUUACAGAAAGUCUUUGCGGGACUCCUGGCCAAACGCUACGUCGGGCUCGGCAUCCUGCUCCUUGUGUCGAUCAUAUUUUUGUUUUUAUCUGUUCUACCCUUUGUUUUCACUCCUAGCAAUGUCGUCUGCUCUACCAGAUUCUUCAUCCCAGGCUUCGCCUAUUCCCUGUCGUUUGCAACUUUGUUGGUCAAGAUCAUGUCGCUUAGAUCAUACAAACUGAUUGGUCUGGGUGGCGAAUUGUCCAAUAUAAAUCAAUUCCUUACGGUGCUAUUCAUUACGGGUGUUCAGAUUUCAAUGGGAAUUCAUUUCUGGUACAUCGAAGACCAACAAUUAGGAUUUAUGCGUACAAGACUGAAUGACGUGAAUCAACUGGAGUACGCAUGCGUAUUUGAUAGAAUAGAAUUUGUUCAGUAUUUAGUAUUUGUCAUGUUUCUUAUCUUGCUCUGUGCAAUAUAUUCUAUUUUUGUACGAAAUGAAUCCAAGAACAUGGGUGAAGCCAAAUUCAUUAUGGUGUAUUCGUGGUUGUGCAUUCCUAUUUGGGUGGCAUGGGUCGUCUGCCUAAUUGUUUUGCCGCGCUUUUGGGCGGAAGUGAUCGUCUGCGUUGGCAUUCUGACGUGCGCAACGCUUAUGACAUUGAUAGUAUUUUUGCCAAAACUGCAUCGUAUUUCACGUUUGAAGUAUGACGUCAAACGCUCAGGGAUGGAAAAUGGCGGGUACAAAGUGGACACAGACUUUAUGUUUGAGAGACCGUACACGCUGCCGACAUCUUCCAGGUCGUCCAAUAAAUACUCCGUCAAAACCAAUCCGAGGUUUAUAUCCUCGUUCGAUACAAGUUUAAGUUAUUAAAGGAAAUAUUUGUUUGAGUUAUUUAAGAAAACAUUUACAGUUUAACAUGUAUAGUUUCUAAUUACUAAAGUCUUAUAUAUUGUAAUACUCAUGCGUGUCUUAAAAUCAUUUGUUUACGUUUUCCAAAACAAUGUGCUGCUUUUUUUUAAACUAAUGUGUAUAUAUAAUUGCUUGUAACGAGUACUGUUAUAAAGUUUUGAUGAUUAUUGUUUUUUUCUAGAAUGGAUAUUUUUACC
rnacentral:sRNA from 1 species